UGGGGAAUUUUGGACAAUGGGCGAAAGCCUGAUCCAGCAAUGCCGCGUGUGUGAAGAAGGCCUUCGGGUUGUAAAGCACUUUUGUCCGGAAAGAAAUGGCUCUGGUUAAUACCUGGGGUCGAUGACGGUACCGGAAGAAUAAGGACCGGCUAACUACGUGCCAGCAGCCGCGGUAAUACGUAGGGUCCAAGCGUUAAUCGGAAUUACUGGGCGUAAAGCGUGCGCAGGCGGUUGUGCAAGACCGAUGUGAAAUCCCCGAGCUUAACUUGGGAAUUGCAUUGGUGACUGCACGGCUAGAGUGUGUCAGGGAGGGGGUAGAUUCCACGUGUAGCAGUGAAAUGCGUAGAGAUGUGGAGGAAUACCGAUGGCGAAGGCAGCCCCCUGGGAUAACACUGACGCUCAUGCACGAAAGCGUGGGGAGCAAACAGGAUUAGAUACCCUGGUAGUCCACGCCCUAAACGAUGUCAACUAGUUGUUGGGGAUUCAUUUCCUUAGUAACGUAGCUAACGCGUGAAGUUGACCGCCUGGGGAGUACGGUCGCAAGAUUAAAAGCUCAAA
rnacentral:rRNA from 1 species